rnacentral:misc_RNA from 1 species
CUGUAGUGCCAGAAAUGCUCCUUAAAGUAUUAGAGCCUUAUCGAAAAGAAGGAUGCAUACUUGAUGAUGAGAGAGCAAGAUUAUAUGCUACCAUAGUCAACAAAGGUUGUGCUGUGAGGUUUGCCUUUGCAGCUGCUAUUUUUGGUGAAACUUCGGAAGCUCUUUUCUGGUUGCAAUUGCCUCAUGCCCUGAAACAUUUGAUAAAUAAGUUGGUAAAUAAGUCUCCACAGAAAGUACCCAUCUCAGCUUCAAUGCUGGAGAUUGAUGGCACGGCUAUGUUGAACAGAAUUGCAUCAAAGGGGAAAUCAGUAACUGGUACUGAGAACAGGGAUUUAUUGAGCAGUGGUCAACUUAGAUUGAUGGCUUUCCAGCAAGAAGAGUUAUGGGAGAGUGCUAAUGAGCGCAUUCCUUGGCAUGAGAAACUGGAGGGAGAAGAGGCUAUUCAAAACCAUGUGCAUGAGCUUGUAUCAGUUGGGAAUUUGGAAGCAGCAGUUAGUUUGUUGCUUUCCACCUCUCCAGAUAGUUCUUAUUUCUAUGCAAAUGCUCUACGUGCGGUUGCUCUUUCUUCUGCUGUGUCAAGAUCUCUUCAUGAGCUUGCAGUUAAGGUUGUUGCAGCUAACAUGGUCAGGACUGACAGAUCAUUGUCUGGUACUCAUCUUCUUUGUGCUGUUGGAAGGUAUCAAGAAGCUUGUUCUCAGCUGCAAGAUGCUGGAUGCUGGACAGAUGCUGCAACUUUAGCUGCUACACACUUGAAGGGAUCUGAUUAUGCAAGGGUCUUGCAAAGAUGGGCUGAGCAUGUUCUUCGUUCUGAAUACAACAUCUGGAGGGCUCUAAUUUUGUUUGUUGCGGCUGGUGCAUUGCAAGAGGCCCUUGCAGCACUUCGUGAAGCACAGCAACCUGAUACAGCUGCCAUGUUUAUACUUGCUUGCCGAGAAAUCCAUGGAGAAAUUAUUGGUCAUUUAAGAAAUUCAGAUGAUGAAUCAGGGUCUUCAGACAAUAAUGUUCUAAUUAACUUACCUGGGUUGAACCCAGAGAAUGAAGAUGUUAUUGCAGUUGGUGAAUAUUUUGGGCAGUAUCAAAGAAAAUUGGUGCAUCUAUGCAUGGACGCACAGCCAUUUUCUGAUUAAUUGACCAAGCGUGUUAGAUUUUUUUUUUUUUUUUAAUUGUAGUUUCU